UGUUGAUGGCGGCGGCGCGGCGGCGCGGCGGCGCGGCGGCGUCGCGUUGGUCGUCUUUCAAUCGCGCGCGCAAAUCCACAUCCGCGACACGCAAUCAGCGGCGCCGCGUGAGCUCGAGAUAUGUUCGUACGUUCGUGCGCUCGGUCGAUCGCUCGGGCUCGGGUGCCGAUCCUGAUGCAUUGUUCUUGCACGUGGCGAAUUAGUCUCACGGACGGGGUCGAGUAGACACGACAGACGAAAUCCCGUCGUACAAAUGCCGUCGUACGGUGCUCGUAAAGACGUCAAGUCUACCCUCUCUUCGAUCAACGUCGCACGGCACGUUCGAGCACGUUGAGGAGCCAGCAUACGGCGGCGACGACGACGUUCGUCACGACGAGUCAGCACGUUUUGUAGGAGGGCUUCGUGGACGGGUCUUGGUGUUCAGUAUGCAAGCUCAGUGGUGGCCGCAUCCGGUAGGCCACAUACCAACAGUUGGCAAAACACGCCUCGAGAAAGAGACAGAAAGAAAAAAAAAAGAGAGAACAGAAAUAGAGAGAGAGAGAGAGAGAGAAAGAGAGAAGAGAGAUAGAGCAAGAGGUCAGUGUGGAGUGCGUGUGAGAAGAGAAGAGAAGAGGAGAGAAAAGAGAGCAAAAGAGAGCUCGAUCGCAGGCUGCAGAUGCUGGCGAUAGCGCGUAUAAAAGAUGUAUCUACAUUUAGUUCGGACAGGCACCACUUUAUUCGCUCGCCGAGCGCUAACAAGUGUUUUCCAUCGGCUGAAGCGGUGCUUUAAAGAUCCGCCGAGUGCAACCGGUCUGCCACGAAGUCGCGCUACUUGCUGGUAGCUCGUUUGGAAUUGCGGUAAAUCUCGCCGCGCGCGAACAACGCGCAACUGUCAAUCGGCGAAAGCCAAGUUUUGAUUUACUUCACGCGCACAUCGUCGUACAUCCGUUGGCGUGAGCAACCGGAUGUUCUCCAUGACUGGUGUGCUUUUUCAUCCACGCCAUCGUAUACGAUCCGAUGUUGAAAUGCUAGAAAUGUUCAACCUCACGAAGUCGAGAACUUCUGGCUUUGAUGGAGGUUACAACAUCGAACUUGGAGUUCUCGAGAAUCACGAUUCGGUGACGUGUGGCUAUCCUCGGAUACCACCGUGAACGAGUGCAUAUAAACGUAAAGUUUACCGUGUCGUCGUCGGUGCGCCGCGACAAAGGGAGUUGUGCCGCAGGCGGACGUUUCUACGUUUUAAAGCGUUU